rnacentral:misc_RNA from 1 species
GAAAUGCGAUAAGUAAUGUGAAUUGCAGAAUUCAGUGAAUCAUCGAAUCUUUGAACGCAACUUGCGCUCCUUGGUAUUCCGAGGAGCAUGCCUGUUUGAGUGUCAUUUAAUUCUCAACCCCUCCAGUUAUUUUGACUGGUUAGGUGGCUUGGAUGUGGGGGGAUUAACUGCGGGCCUCCUCAGAGGUCGGCUCCCCUGAAAUACAUUAGCGGAACCGUUUGCGGAACCCGUCACUGGUGUGAUAACUAUCUAUGCCAAAGGACAUCUGCUCUCUGGUAGUUCUGCUUCCAAUUGUCCUUCACUAUGGACAAAUGUUAUAUUUAUUACUUGACCUCAAAUCAGGUAGGACUACCCGCUGAACUUAA